AGUGAACGCUGGCGGUAGGCCUAACACAUGCAAGUCGAACGGCAGCACAGUAAGAGCUUGCUCUUACGGGUGGCGAGUGGCGGACGGGUGAGGAAUACAUCGGAAUCUACUUUUUCGUGGGGGAUAACGUAGGGACACUUACGCUAAUACCGCAUACGACCUACGGGUGAAAGCAGGAGAUCUUCAGACCUUGCGCGAUUGAAUGAGCCGAUGUCGGAUUAGCUAGUUGGCGGGGUAAAGGCCCACCAAGGCGACGAUCCGUAGCUGGUCUGAGAGGAUGAUCAGCCACACUGGAACUGAGACACGGUCCAGACUCCUACGGGAGGCAGCAGUGGGGAAUAUUGGACAAUGGGCGCAAGCCUGAUCCAGCCAUACCGCGUGGGUGAAGAAGGCCUUCGGGUUGUAAAGCCCUUUUGUUGGGAAAGAAAAGCAGCAUGUUAAUACCCCGCUGUUCUGACGGUACCCAAAGAAUAAGCACCGGCUAACUUCGUG
rnacentral:rRNA from 1 species